CCUACGGGGGGCAGCAGUGAGGAAUAUUGGUCAAUGGGCGCGAGCCUGAACCAGCCAAGUAGCGUGAAGGAUGACUGCCCUACGGGUUGUAAACUUCUUUUAUAAAGGAAUAAAGUGAGGCACGUGUGCCUUUUUGUAUGUACUUUAUGAAUAAGGAUCGGCUAACUCCGUGCCAGCAGCCGCGGUAAUACGGAGGAUCCGAGCGUUAUCCGGAUUUAUUGGGUUUAAAGGGAGCGUAGAUGGGUUGUUAAGUUAGUUGUGAAAGUCAGAGGCUCAACCGUGAAAUUGCAAUUGAUACUGGUCGUCUAGAGUGCAGUUGAGGUAGGCGGAAUUCGUGGUGUAGCGGUGAAAUGCUUAGAGAUCACGCAGAACACCGAUUGCGAAGGCAGCUUACUAAGCUGCCACUGACAUUGAGGCACGAAAGCGUGGGGAUCAAACAGGAUUAGAUACCCGAGUAGUC
rnacentral:rRNA from 1 species